rnacentral:rRNA from 1 species
GUUUGAUCAUGGCUCAGAUUGAACGCUGGCGGGAUGCUUUACACAUGCAAGUCGAACGGCGGCACGGACUUCGGUCUAGUGGCGAGUAGCGAACAGGUGAGUAAUGUAUGGGACGUGCCUAGUAGCGGGGAUAACUACCGCAAAGCGUAGCUAAUACCACAUACGCCCUUCGGGGGAAAGCGGAGGACCUUCGGGCCUCGCACUAUUAGAGCGGCCGAUAUCGGAUUAGCUAGUUGGUGGGAGGUAACGGCUCACCAAGGCGACGAUCCGUAGCUGGUUUGAGGAGGACGACCAGCCACUGGGACAGAGACGGCGCGGCCCAGACUCCUGCGGGAGGCAGCAGUGGGGAAUUUUGGACAAUGGAGGAAACCCCUGAUCCAGCCAACCCGCGUGUGCGAUGAGGCCUUCCGGGUUGUAAAACACUUUUGGCAGGAAAGAAACAUGCGGGAUAAUACCCCGUGCAACUGACGGUACCUGCAGAAUAAGCAUAAGCUAACUACGUGCCAGCAGCCGCGGUAAUACGUAGGGUGCAAGCGUUAAUCAGAUUACUGGGCGUAAAGCGUGCCGCAGGCGGUUCGGAGAAAGAUCAUGAAAUCCGACGCUUUGGAACUGCAUUUUAACUGCGAGCUAGAGUGUGUCAGAGGUGGAAUUCCCGCGUGUGGCAGUGAAAUGCGUAGAUAUGCGGAGAACACCGAUGGCGAAGCCUCCUGGGGGAUAACACUGACGCUCAUGCACGAAAGCGUAGAGGAGCAAAACAGGAUUAGAUGCCCUGGUAGUCCGCCCUAAACGAUGUCAACUAGCUGUUGGGGCCUUCAGACCUUGGUAGCGCAACUAACGCGUGAAGUUGACCGCCUGAGAAGGCUCUGGUGUAGGAAUUAAAACUCGAGAAUUGACGGGGACCCGCACAAGCGGUGGAUGAUGUCGGAUUAAUUCAGUGCAACGCGAAAAACAACACCUACCCUUGACAUGUCUGGAAUCCCGAAGAGAUUUGGAGUGCUCGCAAGAGGAACCCGCAGACGCAGGUGCUGCAUGGCUGUCGUCGGCUCGUGUCGUGAGAUGUUGGGUUGGUCAACAGGCGCAAGCCCUUGUCAUUAGUUGCUGAAAGGGCACUCUAAUGAGACUGCCGGUGACAAACCGGAGGAAGGUGGGGAUGACGUCAAGUCCUCCCUUAACAGCCCAUAUGGGUAGAACUGCACGUCAUACAAUGGUCGGGACAGAGGGUCGCCAACCCGCGAGGGGGAGCCAAUCCCCAGAAACCCGAUCGUAGUCCGGAUCGCAGUCUGCAACUUCGACUGCGUGAAGUCGAGAUCGCUAGUAAUCGCGGAUCAGCAUGUCGCGGUGAAUACGUUCAGGUCUUGUACACACCGCCCCGUCACACCAUGGGAGUGGGUUUUGCAGAAGUAGUUAGCCUAACCGUAAAGGGCGAUUACCACGGUAGGGAUUCAUGACUGGGUGAAGUCGUAACAAAGGUAA